UACGGGGGGAGCAAGCGUUGUUCGGAUUUACUGGGCGUAAAGGGCGCGUAGGCGGCGCAACAAGUCACUUGUGAAAUCUCCGGGCUUAACCCGGAGCGGUCAAGUGAUACUGUCGUGCUAGAGUGCGGAAGGGGCUACUGGAAUUCUCGGUGUAGCGGUGAAAUGCGUAGAUAUCGAGAGGGAACACCUGCGGCGAAGGCGGGUAGCUGGGCCGACACUGACGCUGGAGUGCGAACGA
rnacentral:rRNA from 1 species